GCGGACGUAGUUCAGUUGGUAGAGCCCAGGAUUGUGAUUCCUGUUGUCGCGGGUUCGAGCCCCGUCGUCCGCCCCA
rnacentral:tRNA from 1 species